UACGGUCACCACCAAGAGCAGAGA
rnacentral:misc_RNA from 1 species